rnacentral:rRNA from 1 species
CUGGCUCAGGAUGAACGCUGGCGGCGUGCUUAACACAUGCAAGUCGAACGGGAUCCGGGCAGCUUGCUGCCUGGUGAGAGUGGCGAACGGGUGAGUAAUGCGUGACCAACCUGCCCCGUGCUUCGGAAUAGCUCCUGGAAACGGGUGGUAAUGCCGGAUGCUCCGCACCGUCGCAUGAUGGUGUGGGAAAGGGUUUACCGGCAUGGGAUGGGGUCGCGUCCUAUCAGCUUGUUGGCGGGGUGAUGGCCUGCCAAGGCUUCGACGGGUAGCCGGCCUGAGAGGGCGACCGGCCACAUUGGGACUGAGAUACGGCCCAGACUCCUACGGGAGGCAGCAGUGGGGAAUAUUGCACAAUGGGCGCAAGCCUGAUGCAGCGACGCCGCGUGCGGGAUGACGGCCUUCGGGUUGUAAACCGCUUUUGAUUGGGAGCAAGCGAGAGUGAGUGUACCUUUCGAAUAAGCACCGGCUAACUACGUGCC